UAUGUGAUCGUCUCUUGCAUAUCAAUAAGCGGAGGAAAAGAAACUAACAAGGAUUCCCCUAGUAACGGCGAGUGAAGCGGGAAGAGCUCAAAUUUGAAAUCUUAAAGGGUUUCCCUUUACGAAUUGUAGUUUAAAGAAGUGUUUUCUGUUGAGGUUUUGGUAAAAGUUCUUUGGAAUAGGACAUCAUAGAGGGUGAGAAUCCCGUAUUUGACCUUUACUUUCAACUUUGUGAUACACUUUCAAAGAGUCGGAUUGUUUGGGAAUGCAGUCCAAAAUGGGUGGUAAAUUUCAUCUAAAGCUAAAUAUUGGCGAGAGACCGAUAGCGAACAAGUACCGUGAGGGAAAGAUGAAAAGAACUCUGAAAAGAGAGUUAAACAGUACGUGAAAUUGUCAAAAGGGAAGCGUUUGACACCAGUGUUGUUUUUCUGAAAAUCAAUUAAAGAACUGUUUAUGCUAAGCUGUUUAGACUUUAUCAGCUAUCUGUUUAGUUUUGAGCUUUUCUUUAAUGCACUUUUCAGUUAACAAGUCAACAUCAAUUUCUUUUGCUGUAAAAAAGCUUGAGGAAGGUGGCUUGAGAUUCGUCUUAAGUGUUUAUAGCCUCUUGCCUAUGCAGUCGGAGAGAUUGAGGUCUGCAGCGUAGAUCCUUCGGGGCUAAAUGCAUUUGUGCUAAGUUAUAGCAUUUUAUAGACAACUUGUUGACUAUGAUUUGUCUUGUAGCUUACUCGCUUAUGUUAUUUUACCUACGCUUAGGAUGUUGAGUAGCGACAUACGCAC
rnacentral:rRNA from 1 species